GGGAUUGUGGCUUAGUGGAAGAGUGCUUGCCUAGCAUGAAUGAGGCACUGAGUUCAAUUCUCAGCAGCACG
rnacentral:tRNA from 1 species